rnacentral:lncRNA from 1 species
CGUACUCCCCUUGAAGAGCCUGCCAAGGGGAACUACUUGUUCGUGUAGCUUCCACAUGAACUCCGCUAUUCCAAAUUUGAUCAUUGGGAUAGGUAGCGUCGACAAAGGGCCCCAAAGUAC